GAUGGGUGUAAUAAGAUAACUUGUCACAACUCAUUGAUGGUAAAAUGAGCGAACGAAUCGUAACGACCACAAGUUCGAAUCGCACUGUUGACAUGAAUCUUUACCAAAUGGUAAGGGAACUCGAAAAAUCUGGAAGUUUGGUUUUUAUGUUUACUAAUCAAUUAGUACGUUAGUAUAUUUUUUAUUUUUUAUUUUAAAGAAUGGGCUUCGAUUGAAUGAUCGUAAAAAAAAGUGAAUUCAAGAGUUCUAUGCUAAUAUAAAUCAAAGAGACGCAUGCAUGGACUAUGAAACGUAAACACUUCAAGUAGAAGUAAUCAUUGUGUUAUAUUCUUUAGCUUUAAAACCGCUUUAGUUAAUAAAAUAUAUAGUCUG